GCCGAAAUGGCCGGCUGCUACCAUGCAGUCGAGCGGUAAGGCCCUUCGGGGUACACGAGCGGCGAACGGGUGAGUAACACGUGAGCAACCUGCCCCUGACUCCGGGAUAAGCGGUGGAAACGCCGUCUAAUACCGGAUACGACCUGUCACCUCAUGGUGGCGGGUGGAAAGUUUUUCGGUCGGGGAUGGGCUCGCGGCCUAUCAGCUAGUUGGUGGGGUAAAGGCCUACCAAGGCGAUUACGGGUAGCCGGCCUGAGAGGGCGACCGGCCACACUGGGACUGAGACACGGCCCAGACUCCUGCGGGAGGCAGCAGUGGGGAAUAUUGCGCAAUGGGCGAAAGCCUGACGCAGCGACGCCGCGUGGGGGAUGACGGCCUUCGGGUUGUAAACCUCUUUUACCACCAACGCAGGCUCCCAGUUCUCUGGGGGUUGACGGUAGGUGGGGAAUAAGGACCGGCUAACUACGUGCCAGCAGCCGCGGUAAUACGUAGGGUCCGAGCGUUGUCCGGAAUUAUUGGGCGUAAAGAGCUCGUAGGCGGCGUGUCGCGUCUGCUGUGAAAGACCGGGGCUUAACUCCGGUUCUGCAGUGGAUACGGGCAUGCUAGAGGUAGGUAGGGGAGACUGGAAUUCCUGGUGUAGCGGUGAAAUGCGCAGAUAUCAGGAGGAACACCGGUGGCGAAGGCGGGUCUCUGGGCCUUACCUGACGCUGAGGAGCGAAAGCAUGGGGAGCGAACAGGAUUAGAUACCCUGGUAGUCCAUGCCGUAAACGUUGGGCGCUAGGUGUGGGGACUUUCCACGGUUUCCGCGCCGUAGCUAACGCAUUAAGCGCCCCGCCUGGGGAGUACGGCCGCAAGCUAAAACUCAAGGAAUUGACGGGGCCCGCACAAGCGGCGGAGCAUGUUGCUUAAUUCGACGCAACGCGAAGAACCUUACCAAGGUUUGACAUCACCCCGUGGACCUGCAGAGAUGUGGGGGUCAUUUAGUUGGGUGGGUGACAGGUGUGCAUGGCUGUCGUCAGCUCGUGUCGUGAGAUGUUGGGUAAGUCCCGCAACGAGCGCAACCCUUAUUCCAUUGUUGCAGCACGUAGUGGUUGGGGACUCAUGGAGACUGCUGGUUCAACUCGGAGGAGGUGGGAACGACGUCAGUUCAUCUGCCCUUAUGUCUUGGCUGCAAACAUGCUACAUGCCGUACAAAUGGCGUUGCAAAUCCGUAAGGGUGAGCGAUCCUUAAAAGCCGGCGUCUUCAUCUCGGAAUAUGUGCG
rnacentral:rRNA from 1 species